CAGCAGCCACGGGAAUACGUAGGUGGCAAGCGUUGUCCGGAAUUAUUGGGCGUAAAGGGCUCGCAGGCGGUUCCUUAAGUCUGAUGUGAAAGCCCCCGGCUCAACCGGGGAGGGUCAUUGGAAACUGGGAAACUUGAGUGCAGAAGAGGAGAGUGGAAUUCCACGUGUAGCGGUGAAAUGCGUAGAGAUGUGGAGGAACACCAGUGGCGAAGGCGACUCUCUGGUCUGUAACUGACGCUGAGGAGCGAAAGCGUGGGGAGCGAACAGGAUUAGAUACACGUGUAGUCCCUGUCUCUUAUAC
rnacentral:rRNA from 1 species